rnacentral:rRNA from 1 species
CUACGGGUGGCACCAGGCGCGAAAACUUUACAAUGCCGGCAACGGCGAUAAGGGAACCUCGAGUGCCAGGUUACAAAUCUGGCUGUCGUGAUGCCUAAAAAGCAUUGCAUAGCAAGGGCCGGGCAAGACCGGUGCCAGCCGCCGCGGUAACACCGGCGGCUCGAGUGGUAACCGUUAUUAUUGGGUCUAAAGGGUCUGUAGCCGGCCGGAUAAGUCUCUUGAGAAAUCCAGCAGCUCAACUGUUGGGCUUUCAGGAGAUACUGUCCGGCUCGAGGCCGGGAGAGGUGAGAGGUACUUCAGGGGUAGGGGUGAAAUCUUGUAAUCCUUGAAGGACCACCAGUGGCGAAGGCGUCUCACCAGAACGGACCUGACGGCAAGGGACGAAAGCUAGGGGCACGAACCGGAUUAGAUACCCCGGUAGUC